rnacentral:rRNA from 1 species
UGGGGAAUCUUGCGCAAUGCGCGAAAGCGUGACGCAGCAACGCCGCGUGGGGGAAGACGGCCUUCGGGUUGUAAACCCCUUUCAGGAGGGACGAAGCUCCGGUCGCGAAUAGCGGUCCGGAGUGACGGUACCUCCACAAGAAGCCCCGGCUAACUACGUGCCAGCAGCCGCGGUAAUACGUAGGGGGCUAGCGUUGUCCGGAAUCAUUGGGCGUAAAGAGCGCGUAGGCGGCCAGAUAAGUCCGGUGUGAAAGUCACAGGCUCAACCUGUGAAUGCCGCUGGAAACUGUCUGGCUAGAGUCCGGAAGGGGCGAGUGGAAUUCCUGGUGUAGCGGUGAAAUGCGCAGAUAUCAGGAGGAACACCAAUGGCGAAGGCAGCUCGCUGGAACGGUACUGACGCUGUGGCGCGAAAGCGUGGGGAGCAAACAG